rnacentral:rRNA from 1 species
UACGGGGGGAGCAAGCGUUGUUCGGAUUUACUGGGCGUAAAGGGCGCGCAGGCGGCUCAUUUUGUCAGGCGUGAAAGCCCCGGGCUUAACCUGGGAACUGCGUUUGAUACGGAUGGGCUAGAGUUCGGGAGAGGAGAGUGGAAUUCCCAGUGUAGAGGUGAAAUUCGUAGAUAUUGGGAAGAACACCGGUGGCGAAGGCGGCUCACUGGCUCGUUACUGACGCUCAGGCACGACAGCGUGGGGAUCAAACAGG